GACAGAGGGUGCGAACGUUGCUCGGAAUUACUGGGCGUAAAGCGCGUGUAGGCGGGUAAUCAAGUCAGAUGUGAAAGCCCUGGGCUCAACCCAGGAACUGCAUUUGAAACUGGUUGCCUUGAGUGUUGGAGAGGGAAGCGGAAUUCCUGGUGUAGAGGUGAAAUUCGUAGAUAUCAGGAGGAACACCGGUGGCGAAGGCGGCUUCCUGGACAACUACUGACGCUGAGACGCGAAAGCGUGGGGAGCAAACAGGGAUUAAGAAACCCU
rnacentral:rRNA from 1 species